GACGAACGCUGGCGGCGCGCCUAACACAUGCAAGUCGAACGAGCAAAGAGGAGCUUGCUUCUCUGAGCGAGUGGCGAACGGGUGAGUAACGCGUGAGGAACCUGCCUCAAAGAGGGGGACAACAGUUGGAAACGACUGCUAAUACCGCAUAAGCCCACGGGUCGGCAUCGACCAGAGGGAAAAGGAGUGAUCCGCUUUGAGAUGGCCUCGCGUCCGAUUAGCUAGUUGGUGAGGUAAUGGCCCACCAAGGCGACGAUCGGUAGCCGGACUGAGAGGUUGAACGGCCACAUGGGGACUGAGACACGGCCCAGACUCCUACGGGAGGCAGCAGUGGGGAAUAUUGCACAAUGGGGGAAACCCUGAUGCAGCGACGCCGCGUGGAGGAAGAAGGUCUUCGGAUUGUAAACUCCUGUUGUUGAGGAAGAUAAUGACGGUACUCAACAAGGAAGUGACGGCUAACUACGUGCCAGCCGCCGCCGUAAGAC
rnacentral:rRNA from 1 species